rnacentral:snRNA from 1 species
AUCACUUCUCAGCCUUUUGGCUAAGAUCAAGUGUAGUAUCUGUUCUUAUCAGUUUAAUAUCUGAUAUGUCCUCUAUCCAAAGACUAUAUUAAAUGGAUUUUUGGAACAGGGAGAUGGAAUAGGAGCUUGCUCCGUCCACUCCAUGCAUCAACCAGUAUUGCAGAACCUCCAGGAAUGGUGCACCAAAA